CACCGAAUAAACAACACACCGACCUCUUCAUCAGGGACCUCUCUCUAAUUACAGAAUUCUUCCAAUUCAACCAUCAACGCACCGAAUAAACAACACACCGACCUCUUCAUCAGGGACCCCUCACUAAUUAUAAAAUUCUUCCAAUUCAACCAUCAACGCGCCG